AGGACAUCAACAGAGACUCCCUUAGUAGUGGCGAGCGAACGGGGACCAGGCCAGUGUUCAGUAACAAUCAACCGGAAGCGUUUGGAAAGGCGCACCGUAGAGGGUGAUAGUCCCGUACGGGUACAGGUUGUUAUUGGGCCUUGAGUAAGGCGGGGCACGUGAAACCCUGUCUGAACGUGGGGGGACCACCCUCCAAGCCUA
rnacentral:rRNA from 1 species